rnacentral:RNase_P_RNA from 1 species
UGAGUAAGUCAGAUGGUCGCUGCCUCAUUUGAGGGAGAGGAAAGUCCGAGCUCCAUAGGGCAGGGUGCCGGGUAAUACCCGGUGAAGGUGACUUCAAGGAAAGUGCAACAGAGAUAUACCGCCUGCAUGAUAAUAUACCCGAAUUGUUUUGGGACUAUCAAUCAGGUAAGGGUGGAAAGGUGAGGUAAGAGCUCACCAGCGCAUUGGCGACUUUGCGGCUAUGUAAACCCCAUCUGGAGCAAGACCGAAUAGGAGGGUAAAAGCAUCGGCCCGGUGUGCCCUCGGGUAGUGUCGCUUGAGCCAACUGGUAACAUUUGGCCUAGAUAGAUGACCGUCAAACACAGAACUCGGCUUACAGAUUUACUCAAUGA